UGUAAAAAGUGCUACACCCACACAGUAGGUUUUAUAUAUUUUAAAUAGUUGUAAUCUAGUUUAUUUUAUUUGUUUUAUACUAAAAAGUAUAAAUAUACUUCCUCUUUACUUAAAAUAUAUCACUUUUUACAUAACAAUAUAUUUUAAGUAAAACAAUAGCAAUUUAUUUGGGUAGCUUUUUGUAUGAGUUUGUUGUGUACAAGAAAUGUUAUAAAAGUGAGUUGACAUACACAAUUUAUUUGAGCAGCUGUCGAUGUGGCAUGUGUGUUCAUCAAACUUAAAUAUUUGAAAUAAAAAACACAUAAAAAUUAAGUUGGAUUUAUCCCUUUUUCACUGGCGGGGACUUUCCAAGGCAGAUGCUUUCUCGGCACUUCAACUGUUUGAAAGCUGCAGCGGAUCUAAAUUUCACAGACUGAUUAACACGUCUCCGGUGGGGCAUGCAGCUGUCGUGGGGUCCUCGUGUUAUCAGCAGCAGAGUUGUAACCAAGCGUUUUUGUUACCUGGGGUCUUCAGAUACAGGAUCCGUCUGGAUAUGUGGAGAAAAGGAGAGAAGUGGUACUGAGAUGCCUGAUUGAGUACAUAUGGGAGGGAAAGGAAGACCUCAUCAGUGUCCACCAUAGUCAUGAUGAAACAGAGGUGUACGCUGAGCUUGGCAGUUCCCCACUGAAAAUAUACAUGCGCCAUCAGCCAAACACGAUUGGGAUUAUCACAGUAGAAGGACAGCCCAUGGUCAGAGGUGUGCCAAACCUGUAGAAAACCUCCUGUUUGGACUUGUCUAUGCCCACAACCUCUAAUAUCACUCAAAUCUGGUGUAUACUUCUGAGAUAUAUCACAGGCUCUUUGUGGGAUUGGA